CUCGUAGGCGGCCAACUAAGUCGGAUGUGAAAUCCCCAGGCUUAACCUGGGAACUGCAUCCGAUACUGGAUGGCUUGAAUUCGGGAGAGGGAUGCAGAAUUCCAGGUGUAGCGGUGAAAUGCGUAGAUAUCUGGAGGAAUACCGGUGGCGAAGGCGGCAUCCUGGACCGAGAUUGACGCUGAUGAGCGAAAGCUAAGGGGAGCAAACG
rnacentral:rRNA from 1 species